CAAUAGCGUAUAUUAAAGUUGUUGCAGUUAAAAAGCUCGUAGUUGGAUUUCUGGUGGGAGCGAUCGGUCUGGCGCUUAGCGCGAGUACUUGCAUCGUCUCCGGCCAUCCUUGGGGAGAGUCUGUCUGGCAUUAGGUUGUCGGGCAGAGGAUCCUCAUCGUUUACUGUGAAAAAAUUAGAGUGUUCAAAGCAGGCUUAUGCCGUUGAAUAUAUUAGCAUGGAAUAAUAAGAUAGGACUUUGGUACUAUUUUGUUGGUUUGCGCACCAAAGUAAUGAUUAAUAGGGACAGUUGGGGGUAUUCGUAUUCCGUUGUCAGAGGUGAAAUUCUUGGAUCUACGGAAGACGAACUACUGCGAAAGCAUUUACCAAGGAUGUUUUCAUUAA
rnacentral:rRNA from 1 species